GAUCAUGGCUCAGGACGAACGCUGGCGGCGCGCCUAACACAUGCAAGUCGAACGAGAGAGAGGGAGCUUGCUUCUUCGAUCGAGUGGCGAACGGGUGAGUAACGCGUAAUCAACCUGCCCUUCAGAGGGGGGACGAACAGUUGGAAACGACUGCUAAUACCGCAUACGAUUCAAUCUCGGCAUCGAGACUGGAUGAGAGGUGGCCUCUAUUUAUAAGCUAUCACUGAAGGAGGGG
rnacentral:rRNA from 1 species